CAGUAGCCACGGUAAUACGAAGGGGGCUAGCGUUGUUCGGAAUUACUGGGCGUAAAGCGCACGUAGGCGGACAUUUAAGUCAGGGGUGAAAUCCCGGGGCUCAACCCCGGAACUGCCUUUGAUACUGGGUGUCUUGAGUGUGAGAGAGGUAUGUGGAACUCCGAGUGUAGAGGUGAAAUUCGUAGAUAUUCGGAAGAACACCAGUGGCGAAGGCGACAUACUGGCUCAUUACUGACGCUGAGGCGCGAAAGCGUGGGGAGCAAACAGGAUUAGAUACCCCCGUAGUCCCUGUCUCUUAUAC
rnacentral:rRNA from 1 species